UGUGGGAGCCAGCAGCUUGUGAGGAAGGCUCUGUGCUGCUAAGAAGAUGAAGGUAUUUGCUCAUGCUUCUACACUAGGUCUGGAUUAGAUCACCCACUGCAAUUACUGAAUUUGGGACUGCUGAGUGAUCAUUCUCCUGCAUACGUCUACCUUCCCAACACUAACAGCAGAGGUGAUACACACAUCCCUCUAAAGUAGAGCAGCACCGGGAAUGGGGGAAACGGAGCCUCCCUCCUCUCUCGGUCUCCUUCGCACCAUUGCACUUGCCACAGCCCGGCGAGAAGCGCAGCCAGCCGGGUCCCGCCGGGGUCGGGGGGGGGGGGGGGUGAGCGUUU